CGAACGUGGGUAACCUGCCCAUCAGAGGGGGAUAACAUUCGGAAACGGAUGCUAAAACCGCAUAGGUCUUCGAACCGCAUGGUUUGAAGAGGAAAAGAGGCGCAAGCUUCUGCUGAUGGAUGGACCCGCGGUGCAUUAGCUAGUUGGUGAGGUAACGGCUCACCAAGGCCGUGAUGCAUAGCCGACCUGAGAGGGUGAUCGGCCACAUUGGGACUGAGACACGGCCCAA
rnacentral:rRNA from 1 species